ACUUGAGCCAUGGAUUUAACAGGAACAUAAUGAAGGGAGUGGCUGAAAAUAACCUGCCCUUACAAGGCAAUCACAUUUCAGGAUUCCCAGGCCAUAGGGAAAAAGCAUCUGUAAACAGCAGGGUCUCUGGGUCCUGCCUUUCCCAUCACCUUCUUCUCCUUGGAAAAGGAAACCUUGAGAAACUUCUGUGAAAGCAGCAGUCCCAAUGUGGGAAAGAGAACUUUUAGUGGCUUUGCUCUCCCUUGAGCUGCCCCUCUAUGUCUAUGCCAACUGUAGGCGAGCAGUGGAGCGCACUUUUUCCCAGUUCUGUACAACGUGAGAGCAGGAGAAUGUGUGCUCCAGGAGCCUCUUUGCAGACGGCAUGCUGAGUGCUUUCUGCAAUUCAUGCACCAUCAAUGCCUAAGGAGAGCACAACCUUGGAUAACCAGAACCAACUGGUUUUGAACCAAGUUUCCUGGGGGAAGGAAUGUGCCCUGUUCUCUUCUGUAUGUCCUGAUACAUGUGUUCCAUAUUACUCCAAUGGAAGGUAACAAUGGCAGCAGUAUGAGGAGUAAAACAGGUCAGAAGUUGGAGCACCAAAUAAAAUAACAGCUAUUUUAUACAA